rnacentral:rRNA from 1 species
GACAGAGGGUGCAAACGUUGUUCGGAUUCAUUGGGCGUAAAGGGUGCGUAGGCGGCGCGGUAAGUCGGGGGUGAAAUCUCGGAGCUUAACUCCGAAACUGCAUUCGAUACUGCCGUGCUUGAGGACUGGAGAGGAGACUGGAAUUUACGGUGUAGCUGGUGAAAUGCGUAGAUAUCGUAAGGAAGAACCAGUGGCGAAGGCGGGUCGUCGUGGACAGUUCCUGACGCUGAGGCACGAAGGUCAGGGGAGCAAACGGG